UGUCGUCAGCUCGUGUUGUGAAAUGUUGGGUUAAGUCCCGCAACGAGCGCAACCCUUAUCCUUUGUUGCCAGCGGUCCGGCCGGGAACUCAAAGGAGACUGCCAGUGAUAAACUGGAGGAAGGUGGGGAUGACGUCAAGUCAUCAUGGCCCUUACGACCAGGGCUACACACGUGCUACAAUGGCGCAUACAAAGAGAAGCGACCUCGCGAGAGCAAGCGGACCUCAUAAAGUGCGUCGUAGUCCGGAUUGGAGUCUGCAACUCGACUCCAUGAAGUCGGAAUCGCUAGUAAUCGUGGAUCAGAAUGCCACGGUGAAUACGUUCCCGGGCCUUGUACACACCGCCCGUCACACCAUGGGAGUGAGUUGCAAAAGAAGUAGGUAGCUUAACCUUCGGGAGGGCGCUUACCACUUUGUGAUUCAUGACUGGGGUGAAGUCGUAACAAGGUAACCGUAGGGGAACCUGCGGUUGGAUCACCUCCU
rnacentral:rRNA from 1 species